UACGGAGGGUGCAAGCGUUAAUCGGAAUUACUGGGCGUAAAGCGUGCGCAGGCGGUUUGUUAAGUCCGUUGUGAAAGCCCCGAGCUCAACUUGGGAAUUGCAGUGGAUACUGGCAGGCUGGAGUACGGUAGAGGAAGGUGGAAUUCCCGGUGUAGCAGUGAAAUGCGUAGAUAUCGGGAGGAACACCUGUGGCGAAGGCGGCCGGCUGGGGGUACCCUGACGCUGAGGCGCGACAGCGUGGGGAGCGAACCGG
rnacentral:rRNA from 1 species